rfam:Tupaia belangeri cont1.379553, whole genome shotgun sequence.
CUAAGAGGAAUGCCCUCUUCUACUGUGCAGUUACUUACAUGGAAGAUCUGGUAGAUUCUCAAAUACUUUUCAAAGAUAUCCUUCAUAAUCUAGCC